UCGACCACCUCCUUCGAUUCCCCCGCCUCCUACGACAGCCAUCGCGCGGAGUCCCCGCACGCGAAAAAAUCGGAUCGCCUCCCCCACCACGCCUCGCAUGAACGACAAAACCACGAACGCACAUCCCACCUCCAACUCCUCCAAAUCCCUCGUUGUCCAUCCCGUGGCUCUCCGGAGAGGAAUCGCCGCCGCCGACCUUCUUAGCGAACUUGAGCAGCAGCACACGGUGGAUCCUCGCUCUUGCCAUCUCAUCUCGUCCUCACCGAGUCUAGGAGAAAGCUCGACGAGAAGGAGCGCUUCGUUGACGGGGGGAGGGGCUGAGGCAGGACGCUAUGAUGAAGGCCGCCAUGUCGGCGAGGCCGACCAUUCGCGCCUCGCGGCCGUGCAAGGUGAGGAAGAGGAACAACUCCAAUCUCCGUGGGCGGGCCGUCCAGGAGGAGGAUGAGGUGCUGCCGAUCUCAGUGAUUGCAGAGAGGUUGGAGGAGGAAGACCAAAGACGUCGAUGUACCGAUUGCCCUGGGCGACGAUCGCUACCCUGCCUGGAUCGCCUUCGCCUAUGCUUCCUCCUCUCACCUGCUCAUGGACCUGUGAGCGACCUUUCUUCCUCCCUCAUGGUGCGAUCUAUGUUUUUUAUUAUGCGGGGAGUGUGAUCUAUGUUCUCUGGUUCAAAAUUGUGUUGGUCUGGUCCGAAGUAAGAGAAGCGACCUUGGAAGGAAAAGGAGCCUUUGCACGCUAGCAGCCGGGAGUUUCCGUGGCAACGAGUGUGUACUCUGAUCGGUAUUGGUGUGAUUGUUUUAUUCUCAUUUGACUAUGUGCGUGGUGUCCUAUUCAGUCUGCCAUGGAGUAAUCAGAUGACAGUGAAGGAGCGUGGUGGAGGAAUCAUGUGAGGUUUGUACACAAAGUUGUAUUUAUUUACUCAGUUUAUGAUUAGGAUUUUCUUAGUUACAUGAGAAUUCAGUUGCCAGAUUCAUGUUUUACGAGUUAGGAUAGAUAAUUUAAGCUAAGUUUAUUAGCUGAAACUAUAGUUCUGGUAUGAAACUGGCAAUGGAAUUUGCACUUUGGCAGUCACUACGUUAGUUACUCUACUUUGAGCAUAUGUGUUAUUGAUUCUUCUCAUGGACUGCACUCAUAGACCAAUAAAAUGUGUUGAUCAAUUCUUCUAUGUGCGUUGGAAGAGAAUGACCGAUUCAGUCAAAAAUGUAUCCAAAAUUGAUUUCCUGUUCUUUGCACCCAGUUCAUUUCCUGGAUCAAUUGGGAAAUAAAUCCAUAGUUUUAAACAAUAAAAAGGCCUGAUAGACAACAACUCCUCUUUUUAUUAGAUCUUUAAAGUUCCUGGACAGAAUGUUCUGAAACAUCUUCGUGUUACCGGACAUGUCUACGAAAUUUAUGAAGGAUACUUGUAUGAUCCUGGAUCAAGCUAUAUAAACCACUAGCAUAUAUAAAUUUCUGAAACUCAGAUGGAUCAAGUCUGGUAGCAGAGUAGCUAGCGAAAUAGCUCAAAUCGGGGCACUGAUUGAUCGACUAGCAACACACACGCACACGAAAGCUGAUGGUAUAGCAGCCACUGGCAUGCAACGUACAUGUUGUUUAUGUUUCUUCAACUCAUGAUGAUACAACCUAGGAACUACUUGCGUUUAUACAAGCUAUAAUAGCACUUGACUAAGUACAAUUAGCAAUCACUGCUUAACUUUGACAAUAGUGGGAUCUUUAGGCAACCAGAUUAGAGGACUAGCUAGCCCACUAUUUUAUCCAGAUUCAUUGUGCUAACUGCUAACUGAAGAAGUUCUGAGCUACUCCCUCCGUCCCAUAAUGUAAGAUGCUUUUUGGCACUAAUGUAGUGUCAAAAGACAUCGUACAUUAUGGGACGGAGGGAGUAUCAUCUAACUUCGCUAUUAUAGAUUUAUUUUUAUAGCCCAUGUUUUGCUUUUCCCACAUAUUGAACAUUUUAUGGAAUGAACGCAUUUAGCUGGAGGGGUUAUUAGGGUCAUGAAUGUUGUUUCAAUUUUUUUCGGAUAAUGAAGGUUCUAGAUCCUCAAAAGACUGAUCGCGCAUUUGUGGAGAAUAGUGGGACAACUAGCAAGGUUGGAUCAGCGUUGGCGACCAACAACAAUGGUGACGGACGUACAAGUUUAUUGUCCCGUGGCAACGCACGGACACUCAACUAGUAUAUAUAGAAGGGGCUUGACCUACUCGCAACGCCGCCGCAUUUCUCCAACCCUCUCACCGCUUCCUCACCACCUCCGAAAGCUCAGCAGGCCAUGGCUGGAUAGACAAGCAUGUCCGCUGAUCGAGCAGCUUAAGCCCUCCAUGCCCUGCGCUCGUGCGUGAUUCACAUCUAUGACUGCACAGCAGAGUUUCUUGUUCUGAAAAUUCGGAAUUAGUUCGCGUUCCGAAGGCUCCAGAUCUGAAGUUAGGAAUUGGAGGCUCAGAGAAUUGCAUAUUACUGCUACAGGGUAUUCGAGGAUUAGUUGGUUCGAUGGGUCGCAAGUUUCUGAAUAUGGUCCUGCACGAGUAUGGCAGUAGAAUGUAUUCGCUGUGCCGCAUCAAGCUCUCCACCCAUCUCUUCUAUCCGACAGCAAAAGACGCAACAACAGCCCAUGAAGAUGCAAAUGCAAGGAAGAAGAAGCAUGGGGGAUGGCCAUCAACGAUCUCGAGCUGCAAGCGCCCGCCAAGUACUUUGGUCAACUUCUCGGUGCCACCCAGCACUGCUGCCGCCAGUAACAUGCGUUUCUUCUCCCUCCUGCCUGAGCAGGGAGAGUCCUCUGUCAUGUUCACAGACCCUUCUUGCAACUCCUCAGUCUACGAUAUGGACAUGAAGUCUUUCGUUCUGCAAACCGUAUGAUUCCAUCACCGUGUCCAUUAGGAACCGAUGCAGCAGCGGCAAUUUCUUGGACCACGAAGAUGAUCACGGCCUCUACGUCAUGAACAGCUUGGACGACAGCUUUGAGUUCUUCAAUUACUGCAAGGUUGGCUUAUCUACCUAUCCGUUACUGUACAAUAAGUGGUACUGGAGUCCUCUGCCGUCUCCACCGUCCCGCACCAGUCCUCUUGUUGCAGCGGCGGUGAUUGACAACUCCACCAUAUGCGCGUCAUCCAAGAACGGCACAUACACCUUUGAUAUUUCGAGGGAGGUGUGGAGCCACACUGGCAGCUGGGUGCUGCCCUUCCACCGCGCAGCAGAGUAUGUCCCUGAGCUUGGACUCUGGUUCGGCCUCCAGGCCCCUGGCACCUGGCAAAAUCGCUUAUGUGCAUUGACCUUUCAUCCUCUGCCAUGGCGGAAUCUGCUCCUUCACCCCUGCAUGAUUGGGAAUACCUCGAUCUCCUGCCUGAUGAGUUGCUGCCGGUGGGGCGUGCCUUGGUGAACCUGGGCUCAGGCAAGUUUUGCAUCGCCACCCACUGCAGGAAGAACAGGUCUGAACACCAGGAGGAGGACGAGUUGGAGAAUAUUAGGAGUUUGGGUGGAAAUGGGGGUGUGCAAACUCUCUUGACUGGCGUGGAGGUGGUCCGCUGCGCCGACGGGCUCCAGCUUAUCCACCACAAGUCCCAACGUUACAACAUUGAAAACUUAAGUAUCCACUGCGUGCUCUGACUCGUUUUAUUACCUGCCCGAUCAUCCCAAUCUGAGCCAUGUACUCCCUCUGUAAACAAAUAUAAGAGUGUUUAAAUCAUUAAAAUAGUAUUCUAAACACUCCUAUAUUAGUUUACGGAGGGAGUACUAGUUAGCUUUACCUAGUGGCUGGAUGCAUCACUCUGUUAUGAUUACCUGUAAGUCGGGACUGACAAAAUAAUACUCUUACUAUUGUUUGCUGUUGAUGCUCA